rnacentral:rRNA from 1 species
UGGAGGAAAGUAGGGGAUCGUAAGACCUUGCGCUUUUGGAGUGGCCGAUGCCUGAUUAGCUAGUUGGUGGGGUAAGAGCCUACCAAGGCGACGAUCAGUAGUUGGUCUGAGAGGACGACCAGCCACACUGGGACUGAGACACGGCCCAGACUCCUACGGGAGGCAGCAGUGGGGAAUUUUGGACAAUGGGCGAAAGCCUGAUCCAGCAAUGCCGCGUGAGUGAAGAAGGCCUUCGGGUUGUAAAGCUCUUUCAGUCGAGAAGAAAAGGUUGCGACUAAUAAUCGCAACUUAUGACGGUAUCGACAGAAGAAGCACCGGCUAACUACGUGCCAGCAGCCGCGGUAAUACGUAGGGUGCGAGCGUUAAUCGGAAUUACUGGGCGUAAAGGGUGCGCAGGCGGCUCCGUAAGUCAGAUGUGA